rnacentral:rRNA from 1 species
AAGCCGUUAGGCGUAGGCGCAGCGAAAGCGAGUCUGAACAGGGCGUUCAGUUCGUCGCAUUAGACCCGAAACGCGUUGAUCUACCUAUGAGCAGAGUGAAGGUGCGGUAACACGCACUGGAGGCUCGAACCCAUUACUGUUGAAAAAGUAUGGGAUGACUUGUGGGUAGGGGUGAAAGGCCAAUCAAAACGCGUGAUAGCUGGUUCUCCGCGAAAACUAUUUAGGUAGUGCGUUCUGUGAUUACCUCAGGGGGUAGAGCACUGGAUGGGCUAGGGGCGUUCACCACGUUACCAAACCUAACCAAACUCCGAAUACCUGAGAGUACAGCAGGGCAGACAGACGGCGGGUGCUAACGUCCGUCGUCAAGAGGGAAACAACCCUAACCAUCAGCUAAGGCCCCCAAGUAAUGGCUAAGUUGUUAAGGAUGUGGGUAUGCAUAGACAACCAGGAAGUUGGCUUAGAAGCAGCCAUCCUUAAAGAAAGCGUAACAGCUCACUGGUCAAGCGUACCUGCGCCGAAAAUGUAUC